rnacentral:rRNA from 1 species
GAGUUUGAUCCUGGCUCAGAUUGAACGCUGGCAGAAUGCUUUACACAUGCAAGUUGAGCGGCAGCGCGGGGCAACCUGGCGGCGAGCGGCGAACGGGUGCGUAAUACAUCGGAACAUGUCCAUUCGUGGGGGAUAGCCCGGCGAAAGCCGGAUUAAUACCGCAUACGCCCGAGAGGGGAAAGCGGGGGACUCGCAAGGGCCUCGCGCGAAUGGGUUGGCCGAUGUCCGAUUAGCUAGUUGGCGGGGUAAAGGCCCACCAAGGCGAUGAUCGGUAGCUGGUCUGAGAGGAUGAUCAGCCACACUGGGACUGAGACACGGCCCAGACUCCUACGGGAGGCAGCAGUGGGGAAUUUUGGACAAUGGGGGCAACCCUGAUCCAGCCAUGCCGCGUGAGUGAAGAAGGCCUUCGGGUUGUAAAGCUCUUUUGGACGGAACGAAACGGUUGCGGUGAAUAUCCGCGACUAAUGACGGUACCGUAAGAAGAAGCACCGGCUAACUACGUGCCAGCAGCCGCGGUAAUACGUAGGGUGCGAGCGUUAAUCGGAAUUACUGGGCGUAAAGCGUGCGCAGGCGGUUCGCCAAGUCAGGUGUGAAAUCCCCGGGCUUAACCUGGGAAUUGCGCUUGAAACUAGCGGGCUUGAGUGCGGCAGAGGGGGGUGGAAUUCCAGGUGUAGCGGUGAAAUGCGUAGAUAUCGAGAGGAACACCUGCGGCGAAGGCGGGUUGCUGGGCUGACACUGACGCUGAGGCGCGAAAGCCAGGGGAGCGAACGGGAUUAGAUACCCCGGUAGUCCUGGCCUUAAACGAUGGAUGCUUGGUGUCUGGAGUUUUAUAGUCUCCGGGUGCCGCAGCUAACGCGUUAAGCAUCCCGCCUGGGGAGUACGGUCGCAAGACUGAAACUCAAAGGAAUUGACGGGGACCCGCACAAGCGGUGGAGCAUGUGGUUCAAUUCGACGCAACGCGAAGAACCUUACCAGGGCUAGAAUGCCUCUGACAACUCCAGAGAUGGAGCCUCUUAGGGAAACCUAGGCAGAGUGCAAGGUGCUGCAUGGCUGUCGUCAGCUCGUGUCGUGAGAUGUUGGGUUAAGUCCCGCAACGAGCGCAACCCUUAUCUUUAGUUGCUAGCGGUUCGGCCGAGCACUCUAGAGAGACUGCCGUUGACAAAACGGAGGAAGGUGGGGAUGACGUCAAGUCCUCAUGGCCUUUAUGUCCUGGGCUACACACGUGCUACAAUGGCAAGUACAAAGCGCUGCAAACUCGCGAGAGGGAGCCAAUCGCAAAAAGCUUGUCUCAGUUCGGAUUGGAGUCUGCAACUCGACUCCAUGAGGCUGGAAUCGCUAGUAAUCGUAGAUCAGCAACGCUACGGUGAAUACGUUCCCGGACCUUGCACACAC